GCCUAACACAUGCGAAGUCGAACGGAGUUAUUAGUUCAGAAGUUACUUCGGGAGUGGAAGGAUAAGAACUUAGUGGCGGACGGGUGAGGUAACGACGUGGGUAACCUUGGCCCGUUUUGUGGGGAACCGAACUUACGAGAAAUCGGAAGCUAAUACCGCAUAAUAAUAGAGGAUCGCACGAUCUUUAGGAAAGAUGGCCUCUGAAGAUGCUAUCGCAAAGGAUGGACCCGCGUCUGAUUAGCUAGUUGGAAGGUAACGGCCUACCAAGGCAACGAUCAGUAGCCGGCCUGAGAGGGUGAACGGCCACAUUGGGACUGAGACACGGCCCAAACUCCUACGGGAGGCAGCAGUGGGGAAUCUUCCGCAACGGGCGAAAGCCUGACGGAGCAAUGCCGCGUGAGUGAAGAAGGCCUUCGGGUUGUAAAACUCUGUCCUUAUCGAAGAGAGGUAGGUAUGUGAAUAAUGUACCUAUAGGACGGUAGAUAAGGAGGAAGCCCCGGCUAACUACGUG
rnacentral:rRNA from 1 species